rnacentral:rRNA from 1 species
AUUGAACGCUGGCGGCAGGCCUAACACAUGCAAGUAGAACGAGUGGCGGACGGGUGAGUAAUGUCUGGGAAACUGCCCGAUGGAGGGGGAUAACUACUGGAAACGGUAGCUAAUACCGCAUACCAUCGGAUGUGCCCAGAUGGGAUUGGCUAGUAGGUGGGGUAACGGCUCACCGAGGCGACGAUCCCUAGCGGGGCUGAGAGGCUGACCGGCAACACUGGAACUGGGACACGGUCCAGACCCCUACGGGAGUCAGCAGGGGGGAAUAUUGCACAAUGGGGGCAAGCCUGAUGCAGCCAUGCCGCGUGUAUGAAGAAGGCCUUCGGGUUGUAAAGUACUUUCAGCGAGGAGGCGUUACUCGCAGAAGAAGCACCGGCGAACUACGUGCCAGCAGCCGCGGUAAUAC